rnacentral:rRNA from 1 species
UACGUAGGGCGCAAGCGUUAUCCGGAAUUAUUGGGCGUAAAGAGCUCGUAGGCGGUUUGUCGCGUCUGCCGUGAAAGUCCGGGGCUCAACUCCGGAUCUGCGGUGGGUACGGGCAGACUAGAGUGAUGUAGGGGAGACUGGAAUUCCUGGUGUAGCGGUGGAAUGCGCAGAUAUCAGGAGGAACACCAGUGGCGAAAGCGGCUCCCUGGUCCAGCACCGACGUUCAGGCACGAAAGCGUGGGGAGCAAACAGG